GGCUGAAACUCGCCUAUAUGAAGUCGGAAUUGCUAGUAAUCGCGGAUCAGCAUGCCGCGGUGAAUACGUUCCCGGGCCUUGUACACACCGCCCGUCACACCAUGGGAGUCGGUAACACCCGAAGUCGGUAGCCUAACCGGUAAGGAGGGCGCCGCCGAAGGUGGGAUUGAUGACUGGGGUGAAGUCGUAACAAGGUAAC
rnacentral:rRNA from 1 species